rnacentral:misc_RNA from 1 species
GCCUAUGCAGUGAGUCUACUGGCCAAUAUAUGCAUGAUCUUCGAGAAACUCACUUAGAAGCUUCUUCCACAUUUUAAGAUAUCUGAAAUCUUCAUCUGGAAGAGGACUUCUAUUUUUAAAGCAUGAUAUCUCCAAAUAAAAGUCUCUACAUAUGAAGAUGGGGCUAGAUCUCUUGAUGAUAAGAGGUCAACAUCAGGUUAUUGCACCUUUAUUGGUGGUAAUCUAGUCACU